UACGUAGGGGGCAAGCGUUGUCCGGAAUCAUUGGGCGUAAAGAGCGUGUAGGCGGCCCGAUAAGUCCGCUGUGAAAGUCCAGGGCUCAACCCUGGGAUGCCGGUGGAUACUGUCGGGCUCGAGUCCGGAAGAGGCGAGUGGAAUUCCUGGUGUAGCGGUGAAAUGCGCAGAUAUCAGGAGGAACACCGGUGGCGAAGGCGGGUCUCUGGGAAGUAACUGACGCUGAGAAGCGAAAGCGUGGGUAGCGAACAGG
rnacentral:rRNA from 1 species